GGGGGCGAAAUGGUUUCGACUGGAGGUUGAAGCUGUGCCUGCAUGCCGAGGAUGGGCUCGUUGGCCUCGUAAAAAAUCGGGUCAGUUAAGAAGAUAACUGCUAACUACAGGAAUCAACCAGCUGUGGCCGCGGAAGGCUCUGCGGUCGCGCUGCUCGGCUAGUUUAAGGCCGUAGCGUCUUUCUCUUGAGACCUGCUAUAGAGAAGGGCGACGAUAAGCAGGUUAGCCGGCCGUGGGAUGUGUCCUCUGCGGAGUGGCGAGUUAGUGCGGGCACUAGAGAGGUGAAGCAGAAGGUGUUGCGGUCUUUCCAGCCUUGCCUCUGACAGUAGAGGGCCGCAUAAGCAUGUAGACGGUGAGGCAGAUGGCCUUUCAGGACACGGGUUCGAUUCCCGUCGCCUCCAGAA
rnacentral:tmRNA from 1 species